rnacentral:rRNA from 1 species
GACGAACGUUGGCGGCGUGCUUAAUACAUGCAAGUCAACUGAAGCAGUGGUAGCAAUAUCGCUGUGGAGGUGGCGCACGGGUGAGUAACACGUAGGUAAUCUGCCUUCAGGUCUGGCAUAACUCCGGGAAACCGGGGCUAAUAGCAGAUGAUGCAGCGGCUCGACAUCGAGACAGUUGUUAAAGCUAUGGCGCCUGAAGAUGAGCCUGCGUCUGAUUAGCUAGUUGGCGGGGUAACGGCCCACCAAGGCAACGAUCGGUAGCUGGUCUGAGAGGAUGAUCAGCCACACUGGAACUGAGACACGGUCCAGACUCCUACGGGAGGCAGCAGUAAGGAAUAUUGCUCAAUGGGAGAAAUCCUGAAGCAGCAACGCCGCGUGAGGGACGAAGGGCUUUUGCUUGUAAACCUCUGUAGUGAGAGAAAAAAAUCCCAAUCUUUGGGACAUGAUGGUAUCUCAAAAGUAAGCCCCGGCUAACUACGUG